rnacentral:rRNA from 1 species
UACGGCGAACUGCGAAUGGCUCAUUAUAUAAGUUAUCGUUUAUUUGAUAGUACCUUACUACUUGGAUAACCGUGGUAAUUCUAGAGCUAAUACAUGCUGAAAAUCCCGACUUACGGAGGGAUGUAUUUAUUAGAUUAAAAACCAAUGCCCUCUGGGCUCUCUGGUGAUUCAUGAUAACUUCUCGAAUCGCACGGCCUUGCGCCGGCGAUGGUUCAUUCAAAUUUCUUCCCUAUCAACUUUCGAUGUUUGGGUAGUGGCCAAACAUGGUUGCAACGGGUAACGGAGGGUUAGGGCUCGACCCCGGAGAAGGAGCCUGAGAAACGGCUACUACAUCCAAGGAAGGCAGCAGGCGCGCAAAUUACCCAAUCCCGACACGGGGAGGUAGUGACAAUAAAUACUGAUACAGGGCUCUUUUGGGUCUUGUAAUUGGAAUGAGUACAAUUUAAAUCCCUUAACGAGGAACAAUUGGAGGGCAAGUCUGGUGCCAGCAGCCGCGGUAAUUCCAGCUCCAAUAGCGUAUAUUAAAGUUGUUGUGGUUAAAAAGCUCGUAGUUGAACCUUGGGCCUGGCUGGCCGGUCCGCCUCACCGCGUGCACUGGUCCGGCCGGGCCUUUCCCUCUGCGGAACCCCAUGCCCUUCACUGGGCGUGGCGGGGAAACAGGACUUUUACUUUGAAAAAAUUAGAGUGCUCCAGGCAGGCCUAUGCUCGAAUACAUUAGCAUGGAAUAAUGAAAUAGGACGUGCGGUUCUAUUUUGUUGGUUUCUAGGACCGCCGUAAUGAUUAAUAGGGACAGUCGGGGGCAUCAGUAUUCAAUUGUCAGAGGUGAAAUUCUUGGAUUUAUUGAAGACUAACUACUGCGAAAGCAUUUGCCAAGGAUGUUUUCAUUAAUCAGAACGAAAGUUAGGGGAUCGAAGACGAUCAGAUACCGUCGUAGUCUUAACCAUAAACUAUGCCGACUAGGGAUCGGACGAUGUUAUUAUUUGACUCGUUCGGCACCUUACGAGAAUCAAAGUGCUUGGGCUCCAAGGGGGAGUAUGGUCGCAAGGCUGAAACUUAAAGAAAUUGACGGAAGGGCACCACCAGGGGUGA